rnacentral:rRNA from 1 species
CUUCGGUUCUAUUUUGUUGGUUUCUAGGACUGAAGUAAUGAUUGAUAGGGUUAGUUGGGGGUGCUAGUAUUCAGCGGCCAGAGGUGAAAUUCUCGGAUUCGCUGAAGACUAACUAAUGCGAAAGCAUUCGCCAAGGAUAACCCCUUUAAUCAAGAACGAAAGUUGGGGGAUCGAAGACGAUCAGAUACCGUCGUAGUCUCAACCAUAAACUAUGCCGACUAGGGAUGAGUGAACGUUGCAUUUUCGACUUCAUUCGCACCUUAUGAGAAAUCAAAGUCCUUGGGUUCCGGGGGGAGUAUGGUCGCAAGGCUGAAACUUAAAGGAAUUGACGGAAGGGCACCACCAGGAGUGGAGCCUGCGGCUUAAUUUGACUCAACACGG